GACAGAGGUGCCGAGCGUUAGGCGGAAUCACUGGGCUUAAAGCGUGUGUAGGCGGGCGGGCAAGUACCUUGUGAAAUCCCACGGCUCAACCGUGGAACGGCUGGGUAUACUGCCUGUCUUGAGCCAACUAGGGGCGAGCGGAACAGACGGUGGAGCGGUGAAAUGCGUAGAGAUCCGGAAGAACACCAAAGGCGAAGGCACCAUCCUGGGGAGUCACUGACGCUCGGGUGCGAAAGCUAGGGGAGCGAACGGG
rnacentral:rRNA from 1 species